rnacentral:rRNA from 1 species
AUUGAACGCUGGCGGCAUGCCUUACACAUGCAAGUCGAACGGUAACAGGUCUUCGGAUGCUGACGAGUGGCGAACGGGUGAGUAAUACAUCGGAACGUGCCCGAUCGUGGGGGAUAACGCAGCGAAAGCUGUGCUAAUACCGCAUACGAUCUACGGAUGAAAGCGGGGGAUCGCAAGACCUCGCGCGGACGGAGCGGCCGAUGGCAGAUUAGGUAGUUGGUGGGAUAAAAGCUUACCAAGCCGACGAUCUGUAGCUGGUCUGAGAGGACGACCAGCCACACUGGGACUGGGACACGGCCCAGACUCCUACGGGAGGCAGCAGUGGGGAAUUUUGGACAAUGGGCGCAAGCCUGAUCCAGCCAUGCCGCGUGCAGGAUGAAGGCCUUCGGGUUGUAAACUGCUUUUGUACGGAACGAAAAAGCUCUCUCUAAUACAGGGGGUGAAUGACGGUACCGUAAGAAUAAGCACCGGCUAACUACGUG